rnacentral:rRNA from 1 species
UACGUAGGGGGCUAGCGUUGUCCGGAUUUAUUGGACGUAAAGAGCGUGUAGGCGGCCAGGUAGGUCUGCUGUGAAAACUCGAGGCUCAACCUCGAGACGUCGGCGGAAACCAUCUGGCUAGAGUCCGGAAGAGGAGAGUGGAAUUCCUGGUGUAGCGGUGAAAUGCGCAGAUAUCAGGAAGAACACCCGUGGCGAAGGCGGCUCACUGGACCGGUAUUGACGCUGAGGUGCGAAAGCGUGGGGAGCAAACGGG